GGAGAACACAUUUGUUUGUUUAUUUUUGAAGCAGGGUUUCUGUGUAGCCAUGGGUGUCUUGGAACUCAAUCUGUAUGCCAGGAUGGCCUCGAACUCACAGGGAUCCUCCUGCCUCUGCCUCUGCCUCUGCCUCUCCAGUGCUGGGAUUAAAGAUGAGCCCAAAUACCACCCAACAAUAAAGCUAUUCUUAACCCCUGGUCCUAGAACAAUAUUUAAAAAGAAGUAGUAGACACUACUAAUCAAAUAAAAGAAAAUUAAAUAUAUAAAAAAGACAUAGCCGGGCAGUGGUGGUUUAUGCCUUUAAUCUCAGCACUUGGGAGGCAUAGGCAGGCGGAUUUCUGAGUUCGAGGCCAGCCUGGUCUACAGAGUGAGUUCCAGGACAGCCAGGGCCACACAGAGAAACCCUGUCUCGUAAAACCAAAGAAAGACAUAACACCCUUUCUGAUGGUGUCUCACACUAACCAUUCAAGGCCUUCCAAACGUUUCUGGUGAGAUGUCUGCAUCCUUGAGCUGUAGGAAGCACAGCAGAGAAGCCUAAAUACCGAUUAUCCUCUGGAACGAGGGCGGUUCCCUGGACGUCAAGUUUGCGCGCGGGGCGGGACGACGUGCCGAAGUCACGCCCUCUUACGUCCCGCUUCUCGCUCCAGUCCCCGUCCCCGCCUCCGCCCCCGCCCCGGUUCCCCGCACUGUGACGUUCCGCGAGAGGCACAGAGCGUAAACAGCGCAAGGCAUUUCGGGAGCGGGAUUGUUUCGCGCAGGAAGCAGGCUCCAUUUUAGCGCCGCCCGGCGUCGCCAUCUGUGUCUCUCUCCUCCCCCUUGUCUCUGUGGUGGCCGAACCCCAACAGGAAGGCUGAAGCCCGCGCCGACCGAGGCCAGAGAGCCAGGCGGGAAGAGAACCAGAGCACGGGAGGAAGGGUUGCGCGUAGGAAGCUGAGUGGAGCAGGUCAGGUCGAAGCGCGCGGCCCGCCGGACGGACUGACGGACGGACUCGUGCGCCUGCGGCCGCGUCUGCGGCGCCCGCGCGACUCGCGUCCCGGCGGCGGCGGUGGCGGCGGCGGAAGCCGGAGGGCAGCCAUGGCGGCCGACAGCCGGGAGGAGAAAGAAGAUUGCCAAGACUGCUCCAGCUGGUUGUUUUCAGAUGGGGAACUUAAUGUUUUGGAUGAUAUUUUGACUGAAGUACCAGAACAGGAUGAUGAAUUGUAUAAUCCAGAGAGUGAACAAGAUAAAAAUGAGAAAAAAGGAUCAAAAAGAAAAAGUGAGAGAAUGGAGUCUACUGACACCAAGCGACAAAAACCUUCCAUCCAUUCAAGACAAUUGAUUUCUAAGCCACUAAGCUCAUCUGUAAGCAAUAAUAAAAGAAUAGUUAGUACAAAAGGAAAGUCGGUUACAGAAUAUAAAAAUGAGGAAUAUCAAAGAUCUGAAAGGAACAAGCGUCUAGAUGCUGAUCGAAAAAUUCGUCUGUCAAGCAGUUCCUCUAGAGAACCUUACAAGAGUCAACCAGAAAAAACUUGUCUACGGAAAAGGGAUUCUGAAAGAAGGGCCAAGUCUCCUACACCAGAUGGUUCUGAGAGAAUUGGGCUUGAAGUUGAUAGACGUGCAAGCAGAUCCAGCCAGUCUUCAAAGGAAGAGGUGAACUCUGAAGACUAUGGCUCUGACCACGAGACAGGAAGCAGUGGUUCUUCUGAACAGGGCAACAACACUGAGAAUGAGGAGGAAGGAGGGGAGGAAGAUGUAGAGGAAGAUGAAGAGGUAGAUGAAGAUGCAGAAGAUGAUGAGGAAGUGGAUGAAGAUGCAGAGGAGGAGGAGGAAGAGGAUGAAGAGGAAGAAGAGGAUGAGGACGAGGAUGAAGAGGAAGAAGAAUAUGAACAGGAUGAGAGAGAUCAGAAGGAAGAAGGGAAUGAUUAUGACACCCGAAGUGAGGCCAGUGAUUCUGGUUCCGAGUCUGUUUCCUUCACAGAUGGAUCUGUCAGAUCUGGGUCAGGAACAGAUGGAUCAGAUGAGAAAAAGAAGGAAAGGAAGAGAGCUCGAGGCAUAUCACCCAUUGUCUUUGAUAGAAGUGGCAGUUCUGCAUCAGAGUCAUAUGCAGGUUCAGAAAAGAAGCAUGAGAAAUUAUCAUCUUCCGUUCGUGCUGUCCGAAAAGAUCAAACCAGUAAACUCAAAUAUGUCCUUCAGGAUGCAAGAUUUUUCCUCAUAAAGAGUAAUAACCAUGAGAAUGUGUCUCUUGCCAAAGCAAAGGGUGUAUGGUCCACAUUGCCUGUAAAUGAGAAGAAAUUAAAUCUUGCAUUUAGAUCUGCAAGGAGUGUUAUAUUAAUAUUUUCUGUCAGAGAAAGUGGAAAAUUUCAAGGUUUUGCCAGAUUGUCUUCAGAAUCACACCAUGGCGGAUCUCCUAUACACUGGGUGCUUCCAGCAGGAAUGAGUGCUAAAAUGCUUGGAGGUGUUUUUAAAAUAGACUGGAUUUGCAGGCGUGAAUUACCCUUUACUAAAUCAGCUCAUCUCACCAAUCCCUGGAAUGAACAUAAGCCAGUAAAGAUUGGACGUGAUGGACAGGAAAUUGAACUUGAAUGUGGAACUCAGCUUUGUCUUCUGUUUCCCCCUGAUGAAAGUAUUGACUUGUAUCAGCUCAUUCAUAAAAUGCGUCACAAGAGAAGAAUGCAUUCUCAGCCUCGAUCAAGAGGACGUCCAUCCCGUCGAGAACCAGUCCGGGAUGUGGGAAGGUUAGAAACGUUCUUUGGACUGAUAAUAGGCACAUGUAUCGGGAUAACAUGAUGGAGGAAUGUGAUUCGUCAAAAGUUUGUCCUGCGGUAAAGAAGAAAGAGAAAAUCCUCAAAUCAAGCUGCAUGGACUAGUUUGUGGCUUCAUUGAGGAUUUCACAUGGUCACGUUGGCCUCAUUUUUUUCAAGAGGAAAAUGGGGAUCUUUCCUAAUGCAGAAAAAAUAAUUUACUAACAAGUGAUGACCAGUUUAGACUAGAUAGUACUCUGAUAAUACAGCAAGUGAAACGAGGUAGGCAUUUUGUUGCUAAGAACAGGCUAGAAAGGAGGAAGAGGAGGAAGUCUUUAUUUGCAAAAAUUGUUAAUAUUUUAUAAAGCCCUUUCUUUCAGGUGUGUCUCUGGAUAAGCCUUACCACAUAUGGGACUUUUAUAAAGGAUCACUAAUAUUUUUUGAGAAGAUGACGCCUCACUUAGAGGAUAAAAUGUUUUAAGUUAUUUCAUAUUCAAGAGGAGCAUUAUUGGGACUGUUUCCAAUUUUGUCACCGUGAUGUGUUAACCCCAUUGCCACAUAUUCUGUAACAUGUGCCCAGUGAAUUCACACAUCCAGCUGAGCUUCUGAAAACAAUAGGUUCUUUCCAAAGGGGAUCAAGUGGCCCUGGGAGACCCGGCAACAAACCAAAACGAAGGGCUGUUGCUGUGUCUGUUUACAACUUUUCCAGAUGCUGGCAGUACCUGUGGACUUAAAGUGUUUUUUAGAGGAUCGCCAUGGUUAUUGAUCACUACCUUAUGAACUAAACAGCAUUUUCCAGAAAAAGGGGGUUUAACUUGUUACAGAAUUGGAGAGAAGUCUUUGAAAAGAACUGAUUUAAGCCCUUCUACCCAACACCUUCCCCUGUAUAGAUUUGCAUACAGCUAAUCUAAAAUAUUCUGCUAAAGACUAUUGGAUGUGUGGUUGAUGGGAUGAAACCUUUGGUUACGUUUCCUUUGCUGGAAACAACCUGUGGUAGGUACAGAUAAUCCAACAGGAGUCCCAUUUCUUUGAGCUUAAAAAGGACUUUGUCGAGUAGGUAGGAGGAAACCUGGCAGAGCCCCUUACUUUUGGCCUAAAAGGACUGAUCACCAAGAUGUCUUUUCAAGUUUAAGCUAAAAGGUUUCCAGUGCAAUACAGUAAAUACAAGUGAAGUUUUUCCUCAGUUUUGCAAUGGACUGCAAACUAUACUUAUAACACCACUACACCUCUCAAGCCUGCCAGGGCCUCCAUUUAUGUAUGUGGCUUACAGUCAGUAGUUGGACUACUAUAUGAACUGUUACUAUCAUGUUUUAUACCGGUCGUAAAUGCACUCCCCAAACUACAAGAAAGCGGCGUCGACCAGAAGAUUAUGAUAUUCAUAACAGCAGAAAGAAACCAAGGAUUGACUAUCCCCCUGAGUUUCACCAGAGACCAGGGUAUGUAAAGGAUCCCCGAUACCAGGAAGUGGACAGUUUUACAAAUCUUAUUCCCAACAGACGAUUUUCAGGAGUUCGCCGAGAUGUGUUUUUAAAUGGGUCCUACAAUGAUUAUGUGAGGGAAUUUCAUAACAUGGGACCACCGCCUCCUUGGCAAGGAAUGCCUCCUUACCCGGGAAUAGAACAACCUCCACACCAUCCUUACUACCAGCACCAUGCCCCACCUCCUCAAGCCCACCCCCCUUACUCAGGACACCAUCCGGUACCACAUGAAGCAAGAUACAGAGAUAAACGAGUACAUGACUAUGAUAUGAGGGUCGAUGAUUUCCUUCGCCGCACGCAAGCUGUGGUCAGUGGUCGGAGAAGUAGACCUCGAGAAAGAGAUCGGGAGCGAGAGCGAGACCGCCCCAGAGAUAACAGAAGAGAUAGAGAGCGAGACAGAGGUCGUGAUCGAGAAAGAGAGAGAGAAAGAAUAUGUGAUCGGGACAGAGACCGAGGGGAGAGAGGUCGUUAUCGAAGAUAAUGUGCUUUUGGAAGCACUGACUGAAGAUAAAGAAAAUAUUGUAUUUUUUUUGUGUGUGUUUACAAGUAGUAAAUUUAUUUUCAGCUGUCGACUUAAAGCUCAUUGUGUAGAAGGAUUUAUUAUCACCUUUGUUCCAAGCAUGCAGUAGAAUAAGAACUGGAAAACUCAGAUCCGCCAAAAAAAUGCACAGUUGACAGUUGGGUUGACUCUUUUAUUGGGGCAGAAUGGAACAGUCCAAGAAUGUAGAUAUUGAUUCAUUCUCCAUAAAUGUUCUUUUUACAGUGUAUUCAUCCUAGAGUUAUUUUGUUUGUUUGUUCUCCUUUUGGACCUUGGUCAAUAACUGCCAUAGAAUUUCGCUUUGUGUUUCUAUAGGUAGCUGCUCACGGUUCAGUAAAAAUACUGCUGCUAUCAAGUAUGCAAAUAUGGAAGUAUGAUGGUUUGACUAUAUGGCAGUGUUGUAGCAGCCUCUCGGUUUUUCCUCUUUCCUCCUUUUUUUUAAACCUAUAAAGUCACUUUUAAGUCUUCAAUGAUGAGAGCAAUAUUAAGAAGACGUUGCUAUCUAAUUUUUAAUCUUUUUAAAUAAAAAGUUCCUGUGUUCAGUAGCAUGGUUAAUGCUAUUGUUUAGCCUCCCUUUUAAACUGUACACUGGCUUGGAAUGUUCACAGUUUCGCGUGUGUGGCAGCAGAAGAUAACCCCACAUUCUACAUUGCUACUGUUUUGUAUGAAAUAAAUUGAUAAAGAUUGACACUAA